UCAGACGCAGCCACCCCGCCUCUACAGUCCCCUGGGGAAGGAGCUGCUUCCUCGGCACGUUGUACGUCACAUGGAACUUCCUGCUGGUCCGUCUGGGUUUCUCUGUCCCUUCCCCCAGUGGAAAGGAAAGCGGAACAUCAGCAAAUACACUAAAUUCCCUUACAGAUGACAGAACGUGCAGCCUGCGGGGGUGACCAUGGCUCCUUCACAUGCUGUCAGUAGAAUAGCCAGGGAGGAGAAAUCCAGCGCCGCACGAUGGACGCCGCCCUAUCGCCUUUUAUGAAGAGGAGUAGAAGCAGAGUUUUUUAAAAAAACAUUUUUGAUGUUACUGGUCCUUUAAGCCUGUCAGUCAGGGCUGUGACCAAUUCCUGUGAGAGAAUGAACAGAGAAUCCCACUCUUCAUUUCAGCCUAGCUUCUAACCUAUAAACAUCUCUCUGCAGCUCUGAUAUAAUGACAGUUUGAGGAGGUAAAAUGUUUUCAAAACGUCUUUCUGCAUCAUUAAAUGUUUUGAGGAAGGAUGAGUAAUAUAUCUGAAUAUGAAGGUUAUAUAAAAUGUCUGUAUUUUAGGUAACAUUGUCUGUUGUUUUCUAGUUUGCUAGGUUUAGCAAUUUACUUGGCAAGAGGAUAAGGUUACUAACACAUUUAAAGAGAUACUGACACCAGAAAAUGAACUUUUUUUUUUAUCAUAACAUUGUCUUUGAAUGCUAUUUAUAAUCUUGUCAUAAAAGUAUUUACCUGAUGCUUUUAUAUUACCUUUCUUACCCCAUGUUCCUCUAUGAGGGGGUCUGCCAUAUUUGUUCUGCAGGAGUCCGUUAGCAUUAGAAACGCUGAGGUUAAGAAGGGUCAGUCAGGUAUAGGAACUUCAAGUAACAAUUACUUACAAAAGCAGAACUAUCCGCAUAAAAAACAAAAAAUCAACAUGACCCAUAGGAAAAUUUUCAUGUAGAUUAAUAUUUUGAAAAGAAAAGAAAAUGUUUAACCGAAACCUAAAUUGCAUGACUGUAAGGAGCGGAUUUAUCAAAAGUCUAAAUGAAACCCAAGAAGAAAAAUCUCAGAAGUUUCUAUAGAAGGCUAUGGAAAUUGUCUCAAACAACUUUAUUAAUUAUAUUAUUAAAGCAUUCACGAUUCACAGCAUCACAGAAAAUUAAUGUAAUUUUCAGUUGUGAGCAAUUUUCUUUUAAAGAAAACAUGACUGCGAAUAUUCUGACCAAAUAAAGUGCUCAAGUAAAAAAAAAAA